rnacentral:piRNA from 1 species
CUGGCUAUCCUGGAACUCACUCUGUAGG